UUUAUUGCUUACUUUAGAAAUACUAGAAUUGGAAUGAUACAAAGAAGAUUAGCGUGGUCCCACGUAGGCAUAACAGAGAGAUUCACAGAGCAUUUUUCAUUUUCU
rnacentral:snRNA from 1 species